AAAACACUAAAGUGCUAUACAGAAAGCACAAAUGUGCUAAAUGGAGAGCACUAAUGUGCUAAUAAUUGGAGAGCGCACUAAGGUCCCUUAAUGGCAUGCCACUGAUAUCCUAGUAGUUCUAAUUUUGUCUACUUGGACGUAAAAUUUGAAUUUCAUGCAUUUAAAUACUUUACAUAAGUAUUUUAGAAAAGAUUUCACAUUUCUUCAUCAUCUACAAUUUAGUCCCAAUUUCACAAAUCACAAAUGUCACAUCUUUUU
rnacentral:lncRNA from 1 species